rnacentral:rRNA from 1 species
AACGAACGCUGGCGGCAUGCCUAACACAUGCAAGUCGAACGAAGCCUUCGGGCUUAGGGGCGCACGGGUGCGUAACGCGUGGGAAUCUGCCCCUUGCUUCGGAAUAACAGUUAGAAAUGACUGCUAAUACCGGAUGAAGUCUUCUGACCAAAGAUUUAUCGGCAUGGGAUGAGCCCGCGUAGGAUUAGGUAGUUGGUGGGGUAAAGGCCUACCAAGCCGACGAUCCUUAGCUGGUCUGAGAGGAUGAUCAGCCACACUGGGACUGAGACACGGCCCAGACUCCUACGGGAGGCAGCAGUGGGGAAUAUUGCACAACGGACGCAAGUCUGAUCCAGCAAUGCCGCGUGAGUGAUGAAGGCCGUAGGGUUGUAAAGCUCUUUUACCAGGGAUGAUAAUGACAGUACCUGGAGAAUAAGCUCCGGCUAACUACGUG